rnacentral:rRNA from 1 species
UACGAAGGGGCUAGCGUUGUUCGGAAUUACUGGGCGUAAAGCGCACGUAGGCGGAUAUUUAAGUCAGGGGUGAAAUCCCAGAGCUCAACUCUGGAACUGCCUUUGAUACUGGGUAUCUAGAGUAUGGAAGAGGUGAGUGGAAUUCCGAAGUGUAGAGGUGAAAUUCGUAGAUAUUCGCAAGAACACCAGUGGCGAAGGCGGCUCACUGGCCCGGUACUGACGCUGAGGUGGCGAAAAGC